rnacentral:rRNA from 1 species
UACGUAGGGGGCAAGCGUUGUCCGGAAUUACUGGGCGUAAAGCGCGCGCAGGCGGGUGGCCGCGUCCGGCGUGAAAGCUCUCGGCUUAACCGGGAAGGGUCGUCGGAUACGGGUCACCUGGAGGACGGGAGAGGAACGUGGAAUUCCCGGUGUAGUGGUGAAAUGCGUAGAGAUCGGGAGGAACACCAGUGGCGAAGGCGACGUUCUGGCCCGCCCCUGACGCUGAGGCGCGAAAGCGUGGGGAGCGAACGGG